AUGUGCUAUGAUGAAUAUCAGCAAGAGUCACUUGAUAGGCAUUGGGCAGUGAUGGUAAAGACAUUCAGGUCAUUAGACGAGGUGUACACGUUCUACAACAAGCACGCGAGAGAACGUGGGUUCAGCAUCAGGAAGGACUUGCUAAAAUUUUCGAAGGAUCGCGCAAGGACUCCGCGCUUGAGGAGGUAUCUCUGUUCCGCCGCAGGAAAACAACAGGCCAAGUUCUGUACCAUGGAAGGCCGGACCCGCAGGCUUAGACCGAAGAGUCGAUUCUUAUGCGAAGCCCAUUUGACAGUUAAGCUUGAUAAAAAGCUCAAUCUUUGGUAUGUCAGCAGUUUCUCCGAUGAUCACAGCCACACUCUUGCACGACCGGACGAAGUCCCUUUCCUCCGAUCUCAUAAUCAGAUCAAAGCAUUUGAGAGAGCUGAGAUCUUAGCUAUGGCUGGAGCUGGGAUAAGAAAACAUAUCAUUUUUGACAACAUCGUUAGCAGGUAUGGGCCGUAUGCAAAGUCACCAUUUCAGAGGACAAAGCUGUAUAACAUGUGCUAUAGGGAGAAGAUGAAAUUGCUUGCACAAGGUGAUGCUGAUACUGCCAUAGGAAUCAUGUUGACCAGAAAGGACAGAGAUCCAGACUUCUUCUUUGAGCACACGGUUGACGCUGAAGGCAGGCUCCAAAACCUCUUCUGGUGUGAUUCGCAGUCACGCCGGGAUUAUCUAGACUAUGGUGAUGUUGUUGUGUUCGAUAGCACAUACAAGAUGAACAUGUAUGGAAUGCCGUUCAUCCCUUUUGUGGGUCUGAACAACCACCGUUGCACUACGGUAUUCGCCUGCGCCAUUGUUUCAGACGAGACUGAGGCUACAUAUGUUUGGUUGCUUAACACGUUCUUGAAAGCUAACUGUCAGAAGAGGCCCAAAUCUGUAAUUACAGAUGGAGAUGCAGCGAUGAUAAGGGCUAUUAGGAAGGUGCUUUCUGACGUGUGGCAUCGUCUAUGUUCAUGGCAUAUUGAAAAGAAUAUGCAGAAACACCUCAACCACAAGUCAUUGAAGGAGUUUAGGGCAUUAUUGUACUAUGCCACUACACAUAAGGUUUUUGAGGAGAGAUGGGCCGCGUUUGUGCGCAAAUGGCAGACGGAGAAAACGAAAACAUGGCUCCAUAGGAUGUACAGGAAGAGGACGCUUUGGGCUGCAUCAUAUUUGUCUGGUGGGUUUUUCCUUGGUAUGCGCAGUAAUCAGAGGAGUGAGAGUCUGAACUCCAGCCUGCACCUUCAUCUUGACUAUGGUAUGACGAUCGUUGACAUGAUUGUACACUACGAGAAUUGUAUUGUUCGCCUCCGUGAGAAUGAAGCUUAUGAUGACUACACGGCCUCACAGACUCUUCCAGUAACAGUGACUGAGUGUCAGGCCAUUGAGUCAUAUGCUGCGAAAGCAUUCACGCAGGCAAAGUUUUAUAUGUUGCAACAAGAUAUGAAGAAGGUACAGGAGCUUGAGGUAAUUGAUAGACUGACAGGGACCGAUAGUCAGAGAUUUGUGGUUUUAUGGAAGAAUAACAGGGAUCACAGAUUUAAUGUGGACUAUACGCCAGGUAACUCGGCAGAAACUAUAAAGUGCAGUUGCCGAAGUAUGACUCGCAAAGGGCUUCCUUACAAGCAUAUUAUUCAUGUUUUGAAUGCACUGAACUUACCUGUGAUACCCAAGUGUUGUGUCCUGCGAAGAUUCUCAAAAAAAGCACGAGCUGGACUGCCCGUGAAGCGCACCAGCGAUUUGUUUGCGUGGGGUUGGUCGAGUGGUGAGGACAGAGCUAGAUAUAGUGAGUUGACCAUCAAAUCUUCAGAAGCAUGUCAUGUCGCAUGCAGUAAUCCUUUCUUAUUCGACAAGUUGAUGGCAGCUCUGGAUGAUAUUAUAGUGAAUAAUGAUAUUCAGUGA
rnacentral:rRNA from 1 species